rnacentral:tRNA from 1 species
GCACGAAUGUCCGAGUGGUCUAAGGAGCCAGACUUAAGACCUGGUAGCGUGAGCUGCGUGGGUUCGAACCCCACUUCGUGCA